rnacentral:rRNA from 1 species
GAUGAACGCUGGCGGCGUGCCUAAUACAUGCAAGUCGAGCGAACAGACGAGGAGCUUGCUCCUUUGACGUUAGCGGCGGACGGGUGAGUAACACGUGGAUAACCUACCUAUAAGACUGGGAUAACUUCGGGAAACCGGAGCUAAUACCGGAUAACAUGUUGAACCGCAUGGUUCAACAGUGAAAGACGGUCUUGCUGUCACUUAUAGAUGGAUCCGCGCCGCAUUAGCUAGUUGGUAAGGUAACGGCUUACCAAGGCAACGAUGCGUAGCCGACCUGAGAGGGUGAUCGGCCACACUGGAACUGAGACACGGUCCAGACUCCUACGGGAGGCAGCAGUAGGGAAUCUUCCGCAAUGGGCGAAAGCCUGACGGAGCAACGCCGCGUGAGUGAAGAAGGUCUUCGGAUCGUAAAACUCUGUUAUUAGGGAAGAACAGAUGUGUAAGUAACUAUGCACGUCUUGACGGUACCUAAUCAGAAAGCCACGGCUAACUACGUG